ACGGCGAGUGAAGCGGGAAGAGCUCAAAUUUGAAAUCUGGUAGCCUUCGGUUGCCCGAGUUGUAAUCUAGAGAAAUGUUUUCCGUGCCGGCCCAUGUACAAGUCCCUUGGAACAGGGCGUCAUAGAGGGUGAGAAUCCCGUCCUUGACAUGGACCCCCGGUGCUUUGUGAUACAUUUUCAACGAGUCGAGUUGUUUGGGAAUGCAGCUCAAAAUGGGUGGUGAAUUCCAUCUAAAGCUAAAUAUUGGCGAGAGACCGAUAGCGAACAAGUACCGUGAGGGAAAGAUGAAAAGCACUUUGGAAAGAGAGUUAAACAGUACGUGAAAUUGUUGAAAGGGAAACGAUUGAAGUCAGUCAUGCUCUUUGGUAUUUAUAUCAUUGAGUGGGGUCAACAUCAGUUUUGAUCGAUGGAUAAAGGCACUAGGAAGGUAGCACUCUCGGGUGAACUUAUAGCCUAGCGUCAUAUACAUUGAUUGGGACUGAGGAACGCAGCAUGCCUUUAUGGCCGGGAUUCUGUCCACGUACAUGCUUAGGA
rnacentral:rRNA from 1 species